rnacentral:rRNA from 1 species
GGGUUUGUACAUUAUAGGUUGUAGGAACUGAAAGGACGACCUUCGGGAGCCUAUUACAGGUUGUUGCAUGGCUGUCGUCAGCUCGUGUCGUGAGAUGUUCGUUAAGUCCGCUAACGAGCGCAACCCUCGUCGUAUGUUAUAUGUGUCAUACGAGACUGCCGGUAAAAGCCGGAGGAAGGUGAGGAUGAUGUCAAGUCAGCAUGACCUUUAUAUCCAGGGCUACACACACGCUACAAUGGUCUGUACAAUGGGUAGCCAAGCCGCGAGCGGAGGCCAAUCCUGAAAGCAGGCCUCAGUUCAGAUUGCAGUCUGCAACUCGACUGCAUGAAGCCGGAGUUGCUAGUAACCGCAGGUCAGCAAUACUGCGGUGAAUACGUUCCCGGGUCUU